rnacentral:rRNA from 1 species
UACGUAGGGGGCUAGCGUUGUCCGGAAUCAUUGGGCGUAAAGAGCGUGUAGGCGGUCCGGUAAGUCCGCUGUGAAAGUCGGGGGCUCAACCCUCGAAUGCCGAUGGAUACUGCAGGGCUAGAGUCCGGAAGAGGCGAGUGGAAUUCCUGGUGUAGCGGUGGAAUGCGCAGAUAUCAGGAGGAACACCAAUAGCGAAGGCAGCUCCGCUGGGA